rnacentral:rRNA from 1 species
GAGCGGCGGACGGGUGAGUAAUGCCUAGGAAUCUGCCUGGUAGUGGGGGAUAACGCUCGGAAACGGACGCUAAUACCGCAUACGUCCUACGGGAGAAAGCAGGGGACCUUCGGGCCUUGCGCUAUCAGAUGAGCCUAGGUCGGAUUAGCUAGUUGGUGAGGUAAUGGCUCACCAAGGCGACGAUCCGUAACUGGUCUGAGAGGAUGAUCAGUCACACUGGAACUGAGACACGGUCCAGACUCCUACGGGAGGCAGCAGUGGGGAAUAUUGGACAAUGGGCGAAAGCCUGAUCCAGCCAUGCCGCGUGUGUGAAGAAGGUCUUCGGAUUGUAAAGCACUUUAAGUUGGGAGGAAGGGCAUUAACCUAAUACGUUGGUGUCUUGACGUUACCGACAGAAUAAGCACCGGCU